UACGUAGGGGGCAAGCGUUGUCCGGAUUUAUUGGGCGUAAAGAGCGUGUAGGCGGUUUGGUAGGUCCGCUGUGAAAACUCGAGGCUCAACCUCGAGACGCCGGUGGAAACCAUCAGACUAGAGUCCGGAAGAGGAGAGUGGAAUUCCUGGUGUAGCGGUGAAAUGCGCAGAUAUCAGGAAGAGCACCCGUGGCUAAGGCGGCUCUCUGGGACGGUACUGACGCUGAGACGCGAAAGCGUGGGGAGCGAACAGG
rnacentral:rRNA from 1 species